rnacentral:rRNA from 1 species
GUUGCAGGGUAUAGACCCGAAACCCGGUGAUCUAGCCAUGGGCAGGUUGAAGGUUGGGUAACACUAACUGGAGGACCGAACCGACUAAUGUUGAAAAAUUAGCGGAUGACCUGUGGCUGGGGGUGAAAGGCCAAUCAAACCGGGAGAUAGCUGGUUCUCCCCGAAAGCUAUUUAGGUAGCGCCUCGUGAAUUCAUCUCCGGGGGUAGAGCACUGUUUCGGCUAGGGGGCCAUCCCGGCUUACCAACCCGAUGCAAACUGCGAAUACCGGAGAAUGUUAUCACGGGAGACACACGGCGGGUGCUAACGUCCGUCGUGAAGAGGGAAACAACCCAGACCGCCAGCUAAGGUCCCAAAGUCAUGGUUAAGUGGGAAACGAUGUGGGAAGGCCCAGACAGCCAGGAUGUUGGCUUAGAAGCAGCCAUCAUUUAAAGAAAGCGUAAUAGCUCACUGGUCGAGUCGGCCUGCGCGGAAGAUGUAACGGGGCUAAACCAUGCACCGAAGCUGCGGCAGCGACACUGUGUGUUGUUGGGUAGGG